AGAGUUUGAUCCUGGCUCAGGACGAACGCUGGCGGCGUGCUUAACACAUGCAAGUCGAACGGAGUACCCUCGAAAGAGAUUUCGGUCAAUGGAGAGGACUACUUAGUGGCGGACGGGUGAGUAACGCGUGAGGAACCUGCCUUUCAGAGGGGGACAACAGUUGGAAACGACUGCUAAUACCGCAUAACGUACGGGUAUCGCAUGGUACUGGUACCAAAGAUUUAUCGCUGAGAGAUGGCCUCGCGUCUGAUUAGCUAGUUGGUAGGGUAACGGCCUACCAAGGCGACGAUCAGUAGCCGGACUGGGAGGUUGGCCGGCCACAUUGGGACUGAGAUACGGCCCAGACUCCUACGGGAGGCAGCAGUGGGGAAUAUUGGGCAAUGGGCGCAAGCCUGACCCAGCAACGCCGCGUGAAGGAAGAAGGCUUUCGGGUUGUAAACUUCUUUUGACAGGGAAGAGCAGAAGACGGUACCUGUCGAAUAAGCCACGGCUAACUACGUG
rnacentral:rRNA from 1 species